GACGAACGCUGGCGGCGUGCUUAACACAUGCAAGUCGAGCGAUGAAGCACCUUCGGGUGUGAAUUAGCGGCGAACGGGUGAGGAACACGUGAGAAAUCUGCCUUCAACACUGGGAUAACUCCGGGAAACCGGGGCUAAUACCGGAUAUGAAACCUGCGGGCAUCCGCGGGUUUGGAAAGUUUUUCGGUUGAAGAUGAUCUCGCGGCCUAUCAGCUUGUUGGUGAGGUAAUGGCUUACCAAGGCGACGACGGGUAGCCGGCGUGAGAGGGCGACCGGACACACUGGGACUGAGACACGGCCCAGACUCCUACGGGAGGCAGCAGUGGGGAAUAUUGGGCAAUGGAGGAAACUCUGACCCAGCGACGCCGCGUGCGGGAUGAAGGCCUUCGGGUUGUAAACCGCUUUCAGCAGGGAAGAAGCGAAAGUGACGGUACCCGCAGAAGAAGCACCGGCUAACUAUGUGCCAGCAGCCGCGGUAA
rnacentral:rRNA from 1 species